rnacentral:lncRNA from 1 species
CUCCAUUUCCUAGGAAGAUCUUGAUUUGUCGCUGGAGGUUGAUCUUCUUCAUCUUGCUGAAUUGUAUCUUCUUUGAUUUCAUCCUCAUGUUGUUUGUCUUGUAUGGAGAAUUCCUUCAUUCUGUCUUCAAGUAUACCUGCAUCACCAUCUUCUUCUUUUCUAGAAGAAUCUCCAUUAGCUUCAUCAAAAACAACAUGAAUGGAUUCUUCAACAAUGAGAGUUCUCUAGUUGAAGACUCUGUAUGCUCUACUAGAUGAGGAAUAACCUAAGAAGAUCCCCUCAUCUGAUUUAGCACUAAAUUUACUUAGAUUGUCCUUUCCAUUGUUUAAAAUAAAGCAGCGACAACCGAAAACAUGAAAAUAGCUUAUAUUGGGCUUCUUAUUUUUCAACAACUCAUAA